GUGAAUCAUCGAAUCUUUGAACGCAAAUUGCACUCUCUGGUAUUCCGGAGAGUAUGCCUGUUUGAGGGUCAGUUUAAAUAAAAAUCGGUGUGUUUGCUGCCUUUCUUGGUGCCGCACCGGAUUUGGUUCGUCUUGCUUUCGGUUAAGUGCCUUAAAAUUUUGCUUGUUUUUUUUCGAACGUAUUUAAUUAUUUUUCCUUCCGUUUGCGUUUUAGAUUAC
rnacentral:misc_RNA from 1 species